CUCUCCCCGCGUCCCAGCCCCCGCUCGCCCCGCCCUCUCCCCUUCCUCUCCCUCCCUCAGACCUCGCCGCCCCGCUCACAUCGCUGCCGCCGAAGCCCUCAGACCACGCCGCGGUGGACCUCUCUCCUCCCCGCCCCGCCCGUCCCGCUCGCCGUGGCCGUGGCCGAUGACCGCGGCCCCGCCGUCCCGCCCCGCCCGCCGCGGCGGCCAUGGACGAGCUCGAGCUCGACAGGGGAGCAACGGGGAGAGGAACAUGAGGCUAGGGGGAGGAAGAAGAUGGCCACCGCCGCCGGAUCACCGCCGCGCCUCUGCUUCAACCCUAACCCUAGCGUUGCUGCUGCUGCUCAAGGUGCACGCAUGCGUCCAACGGUGAACCCUAGCCUCGGACAGCAGCAGCGGCCAUCACCAAUGACAGCAGCGACAGGAGCAGCCAGCAGCUCAGGUGCACCUAUCUCUUCCAGGAGCACGGCGCCCACCCCACCCACUACCCCUUCCCCCGCCAGCCAUGGGAGCUGGUGGCCUGCCUCUCCUCAGAUCGUGACCUGAAGCCGGCUCAGACUUCAGGACUAUGUUUAAACAUUCAACAACUCUGGCCAACAUAUGAAACAAGACCAAGUCUCGCAUGGGGAUGCAACCCAUCCUCUGCUUGCUUCCAGCACGGCGCCGGCCGGAUCCACCUCGGCCACAACCACGACACCGGCAUUGGCAGCCAUGUGCUUCUUCUCCAUCACCACAAAAUGAGAAUGCAAGGCACAAGCAAGGGAAGACCAUCGCUUCGCUCCUCUGGGCCGCCGCUGCUACAACCCUACUGGACGCCAUGCAAGGUUUUUUGGUGCGUUUGUGCUCGUCGGCGGGACGGUGCAAGGCGCAACUCCGACGUGGUUCCUUGCUGGUUGGACGGCGUUCACGCGCAACCCCGGCGUGCACAGAGUACUGCCUCGGUGAGCUCCAUCUUCCUCCUGCUCCGCUGCUUCGGCUACUGUAUGGGACAUGGCCAUGGCUAUAUUGAUCCAUCCAUCCAUCCAGAAAUAAGAAUAGAAGCUCCUCAGGCCGCACCACAGCGAUUUGGGAUUCCUGACCGUCGGAUCAGGUGGCUUGAUCGGAUCUGGGCCGUCGGGUCGACCCCUGUAACGACCUCGUCCGUCGGAUAAAAAAAAGUUACUACUGGAAUGAAUAGUUACUCCCAUUUCGUGCCAUCGCUCAUAAAUAGCCUGCCCCGCCGGGGGCAUUCUCGCCAUUUCGCUUUGUCUAUGGCGGUGGCGUUCGUGCUAGGGCGAUGAUGAUUAACUGUGGCUGGAAUAAGUGUGCCUUUGAGCAAUCAAGGCACCUGUGGGUAUCAAGUUGGAUCCUCCCUGUUGUCUCUAGAAUCCUUUUUGAUCCUGUGAUACCUAUUGAUCUGUCCUUGGAUGGUCAUUCUUGUUGAGUGAUAACCAGGGCAGCUCCAUUGUGUAAACAGAUUGAUCUGGUGAUAAAAGAUGAUGGGGAUAGGUUAUAUGAUCGAGAAAAGGCGAAUUUGAGCCCACUAUGCAAUAAAACUACAGCUACCUCCCCUAAUGUGUGUAGUAUUGAAGGCAAAAGAGAACUUUUAAUGUCUUGCUACUUUAAAAUUCCAAAAAGGUGCAUUCUUCCUUUGCUGGUUACUUAACCAUGAUUUUUUGUUUUGCUUUGGUUCUGGUUGAGAUACUAAAGGUUGUUUAUAUAUGAAAAUAAUAGACACUUGUAGUUUUGUAUGCCUCACCUGUAGCUUAGGAUCCAGUGUUGUAAUGUUUUGCCUGGGUAAAAAUAACUCUAAUCAAUAAUAGUGGUUCUAUCCUUCUGAUUUGAACUGGGAGAGGGCCACUGAUUCUUGAUCUUAAGGUGACCCUAUUUUUCUAUGCCUCAUGCUCAUGCUGCUCUAUGUUCCCUUUUAAAGAUUCUUGCUUGCAUUUUGGGUUGGUCUUCUGCUCUAUGUUCCCUUUUAGCAUUUCUUUCCGCUGUUGAUGCAUUCCCUUUUUUGUAUAUUACAUGUUCUUUUGUAUCUCAUUCUGCAUGAAACAUAACUAAAUAAUACAUUGAGAUGAAAGGUUAUAUAUGAUAUCAUUGAGAGGAGCAUGCCAACAUCCCUACCUCCCUCUUCAACUCCCACCCAACACAAUUGUGGUGAGCUCCCCCUCUCAUCUACCUGCUAUUUGUACCUUCGGUUUUGGAUGCAUACAAAUUGUGUAUGCCAUGACUGAAACUCGAGCAGCAAAUUGUGUGUGUGUGUGUGCGCGCGCGCACAUCACGUUUUUGUUUAAUUUUGGAUGGCUCAAACCGGCUGGAGCCAACUUUGUGUGUGUGUGAGUGCGCAUCCAUUGCAUGUAAAAAUCUUGUUUUUUCCAAACUCUUCUACUGUCGGAUAUGUAGAUAAAUUGCUUAUUUGGGCAGUUGUAGUACUCCAUGCGAUUGUCAAGGAUCUGCACUUUCAUCACACUAAAUGUAGUUGACUAAAAAGGUAAGUUAUGCCUUCUCUCUCGCUAAUCAAUUUUCUCUUGGCUAUUCUUUCUUUGCAAAUGAUCAUAUUUUGUGUAUUUUCACUAUGUAUUCUUGUAUCUAUAUAUGUUGAGCAGAUUGUUUCCUCUAUGACCAUGAUUCUAUAUGAUUACUGAGGUCUCUAACCUUCUCUUCUUUUCUAAUUAGAACAUGAUACUAAUCUGAUGUAUCUCCUAUUUGCGAUGACUAUUAAAUAUGGAGUUUCUGUGUUGUCUAAUGAAGCAGUCAAGUAUGCAAUCUGAGCAGAAUAUCAUUAAAAGGUCAUUGACCCAACAAAUUGAACUUAAUCUGAACCUCCCCUGUUCCUGCUAAAUAUCCCUAUUUUUCUGAACUUAACAAAGAACAACAUCAUAUAUUAGAUCAGCACACAAGUGAACCAGAAAGCAUUUUAUUCAGUCUUGGUACCCUUAGUGUAAAAUUAUUCCUUACUGGUUGGGGAUUUGGAGGUGCAGUAUGUGGUUGGCGAAGGAUUUUUUUUCUCCUAGGCUCCACACAUUCUCUUCCAUCUAAAACAACCGAUGCGGUCAAGUGGUGUAGUAGUUGAUGGUCGAGAGCUAAAAUCAGGGCACUGUUUUGUUUUAGGAUUUGUGUAAUCUUUAGAUCCACCUUUACCAUCACAAUUAUUUGCCUGAGCUCUGGUGAUUACUCCCAAGGAUUACUCCACCAAAUAACAUUACCGAGGUAUCACUGUGUGUCUGGCUGUUUAUUCAUGUGUAGUACUACAGUGUGUGGCCUUCUCUGUUUUGUCAAAUGCCAGUACUUGCUUUGUGACCCUUGAUGUAUCAACCUGUAACCCUUUGAAACAUGACCUGUUGCCUAUUGAUAUUACUGAUAUAAAAGAGAUAUUUUGUUUUUGCUGAUGCAGGAGGGCAGCAGCCUCGACACGGCGAUCACGUCGCUCCUUAGCGUGGAGAUGUAGUGCCACCUGGCCGGCAGAAGGAAGUCCGCCGAUCGUCGAGAUCUGCUUCAAGGAUGGCGCCUGGAAGAAGCUCAAUGACCAGAUCAUCGUCCUCUCCAAGAGGAGGGGUCAGUUCAAGCAGGUUGGUCCGCUGUCUACAGGUGCUCGUUAUUCUGGCCAGUUUGUCGUGCUCUAUCUUCGACCACCUCUUUGCAGUAACUUUUUCCCGCCUUGCUGGAGGAGAUGAAGCACAUGGCAAAGCAGGAGUUCAUUGCGCACUUAAGAAGCAGAGGCGUCCUGGAGCACGGUGGAGGCAUUUUGGACGUGGAGCACGGCCUUGCGGUUCCUCGAGCCUAGGGAGGCCAUGCGAGAAACCUGGGGCAGCAAGGUACUGCCUCUUGCUGCUCCUCCCCCAUGUCUGGAGCUCGCCUGGAGCUCCCCCACGCCUUGAGCUCGCUAGAGCAGAGGCCUACGAAGCGCUCCCUGGGGCAAGGCCUGGGGCGAUCUGCAGGGAGGAACAGAGGCCUGGAGCUGCGGGGAGAAGAGGUCUGGAGCUGCAGGGAGGAGCAGAGGCCUGGAGCCGGCGGCGAGCUCUGUAGGCGACGACGCGAGGAAGGAGCGAAUCACGAGGGAGAGGUUGGAGCGGAUCGCCAACUUUUGAAUUGUAUAAGGAUGUAAUUGAAAAAUGUUGUUUAGUUCAAAAUGUGUCGGUUGCGACAGAUAUUUUGGGACGGAGAAAGUACUAUUGACAUAGAUACAAUUUAUUUAUCAAGGAUUUUUGUAUAUCAUAUUAUCAUAGGAAAAUGAUCUAUGUAUGCACUUUU